GGCUAACUAACCAGAUCCUCAAAAGGCCAUCAAGGAGGGCACAAGAUGUCGUAGGCACAAGAUACCGCAGGCAUACGCUGCCUCUUGCAUGAAGAAGACAAGAGCCCAAGAUGCUGUAGGCACAAGAUGCCGCUGGCACACGAUGCCUCUUAUGAGAGUUAACUAACUAGACCCUCAGAAGGUCGCCAAGGAGGGCACAAGAUGUCGUAGGCAUAAGAUGCCGCAGGCACAUGUUGCCUCUUAUGCGAAGAUGAGAAGAGUAUAAGAUACCGUAGGCACAAGAUGCCAUAGGCACACGAUGCCUCUCAUUAGGGCUAACUAACCAGACCCUUAGAAGGCCACCAAGGAGGGCACAAGAUGCCGUAGGCACAAGAUGCC
rnacentral:lncRNA from 1 species